CCUACGGGAGGCAGCAGUGGGGAAUUUUGGACAAUGGGCGAAAGCCUGAUCCAGCAAUGCCGCGUGAGUGAAGAAGGCCUUCGGGUUGUAAAGCUCUUUUGUCAGGGAAGAAACGGUGCGGGCUAAUAUCCUGCACUAAUGACGGUACCUGAAGAAUAAGCACCGGCUAACUACGUGCCAGCAGCCGCGGUAAUACGUAGGGUGCAAGCGUUAAUCGGAAUUACUGGGCGUAAAGCGUGCGCAGGCGGUUUUGUAAGUCUGUCGUGAAAUCCCCGGGCUCAACCUGGGAAUUGCGAUGGAGACUGCAAGGCUAGAAUCUGGCAGAGGGGGGUAGAAUUCCACGUGUAGCAGUGAAAUGCGUAGAGAUGUGGAGGAACACCGAGGGCGAAGGCAGCCCCCUGGGUCAAGAUUGACGCUCAUGCACGAAAGCGUGGGGAGCAAACAGGAUUAGAUACCCUGGUAGUCCACGCCCUAAACGAUGUCUACUAGUUGUCGGGUUUUAAUUAACUUGGUAACGCAGCUAACGCGUGAAGUAGACCGCCUGGGGAGUACGGUCGCAAGNUUAAAACUUAAAGAGUAGUAGGCGUCGUGACGAGUCGACGACGACGACGACGGAGGGAGGAGG
rnacentral:rRNA from 1 species